rnacentral:lncRNA from 1 species
UACGCAGCUUUAGGGAGGUGCUCUGAGACCCGCAACUACACUCGACUUUAACAGACACAGACGACCCUGAAGAUGGCAAUGUUUUCUUCCAAAUUGUUCUGCACGUUUUUGGCGAGAGCAUGAGGCUGUGCAGCGUCCCCUCCCUGGCGCCCGCCUGUGCCCUGCACAUUGGCCUACACUGCGGUGAUCUCACUUGGCCCCCCCCUGAUUCCCGACAUACAGCAGCGGAAGCUGAGGCUCCGGGGGAACAGCCUCAACUGAUUCUGUCCCUGAACUUCCAUACACAGCCCGGGAGUUGUCUUAGAGUCAUGAUUUAUUUAACUGUUCUUUCAUUUUACAGAACAUAAAAUGUAUUGUUUCCAACUUUUUUCCUAUGGUAAAUAAUGCUAAAGUAAAUAUCUCUGUGCAUGAAACUUUUUGUAUAUGUUGGAAUAUCCUUAAGAUAAGGCCCCAGAACUAAAAGUACCCUGUCAAAGAGUGAGCAUUUCCGGUUCUCCUGCUGUGCUUUGCUGCAACGUUCUCACUCCACAUUCCUGGGGCAGGUAGGGGAGGGCCAGCUGGGUUUGGAUCAUAAUCCUGAAAGACACA